UUUAAAUUUUGCAUUUUUAGGGGUAUGGUGACAACAAACCCAAGUCAUCCACCACUGCUCAAGAGGUCAAAACUCUGGAUGGCGUGUACUCAGAACAGGUGGUGAUGGGCUAUUCUCACUCCCUGGUUAUUGCUCGGCAAGACACAGAGCAGGAGAAAGAAAAGCUCAAGAAGCUUCCCGAAUACAACCCGCGCACACUCUGAUUGGACACCAUUCACAUUUUCUCCAGGGGCUUUUUUAAGGAAUGCCUCUGCUCACUAGGUCAUCUGGGUAAUCACAGUUUGGUUGGGAUGUGAUUUUAUUUUUCCUUUAUUUUUGGACAUCAUAUUGCAUUUUUGAAAGACAAGCCACAUGUCAGAUAAAAG